UCGGCAGACGAAUUCAUAACUAUCCCUUUGUGACUUUAACAAUAUCAUCCAUAAAUUUAAAACAGCGAAGAGCUUUCCUAUGUUUACUGGUUGAAGUGAUUUUUCAUGACAAAAACGUCGGAAUGAACCAUAGUGCCCACCUGUGUCUUGUUUUCUUUCUCCUUUUUGUCAGAAUUAAUACAGCAUGGAUCCCUAGAUAUGACAAAAGAUAUGUUGCAGAUUUAACAUUGCCUGAUUUACUGGCCAGGGCAGGAAAUAAGUGUGCACAUGUAAAUUGCCGGUAUAAGGAUCUUAUUUUGUAUGGAAAACGGCGCAAAAGAAAUGCCCUAUUAAGGUCAUAUAAUGCAUGUUGCUGAUGAAGAUACAUCCAUGGAUGCAUUUUGUGAAUCAAAAGUAUUUUAUAAUAAACACCUUUCAGCUUAA